rnacentral:rRNA from 1 species
AUGCCUUUCGCGAACAAACGGAUGGAGACUUCCUUCACCCGCUGGCUUUUGCAGAUUCCACUCUCCUGUGAUGUUCUCUGCUUGGUUCUACGGCUGAUGGGCAACAAGAAUAUACAUAUACAAUGGGUCAUAUUCGUCGUACAGAGGAUUCCUCUUAUGAUAUUGCCUGCUUUUGUUUGCGUGGUUGCAAUCUUGCAAGAACCUAUUCCCCGAGAAUAUCAGGCUACUCCACCAGCACUUGUUUAUUCUCUUGUGUAUAAUAACUUGGAUGCUCUUAAUUUCAGCAUAUAUUUCCCGGUCCGAUGCAAGUUAUAG